rnacentral:rRNA from 1 species
UACGGGGGGGCAAGCGUUGUUCGGAAUUACUGGGCGUAAAGGGCUCGUAGGCGGCCAACUAAGUCAGACGUGAAAUCCUCAGCUUAACUGGGGAACUGCGUCUGAUACUGGAUGGCUUGGAUUGGGAGAGGGAUGCGGAAUUCCAGGUGUAGCGGUGAAAUGCGUAGAUAUCGGGAGGAACACCAGUGGCGAAGGCGGCUUCCUGGCCUGUUCUUGACGCUGAGGCGGCGAAAGCUAGGGGAGCAAACGGGG